CAGCAGCCGCGGGAAUACGUAGGGUGCAAGCGUUAAUCGGAAUUACUGGGCGUAAAGCGUGCGCAGGCGGCUCGCUAAGACAGAUGUGAAAUCCCCGGGCUUAACCUGGGAACUGCAUUUGUGACUGGCGGGCUAGAGUAUGGCAGAGGGGGGUAGAAUUCCACGUGUAGCAGUGAAAUGCGUAGAGAUGUGGAGGAAUACCGAUGGCGAAGGCAGCCCCCUGGGCCAAUACUGACGCUCAUGCACGAAAGCGUGGGGAGCAAACAGGAUUAGAUACCCGCGUAGUCCCUGUCUCUUAUAC
rnacentral:rRNA from 1 species